rnacentral:tRNA from 1 species
UAGCUCAAUGGUAAAGCAUUUGCCUAGCAUGCAUGAGGCCCUGGGUUCCAAUCCUAG